UGCCAGCCGCCGCGGUAAUACGAAGGGUGCUAGCGUUGUUCGGAAUUACUGGGCGUAAAGAGCAUGUAGGCGGAUGAAUUAGUCAGAGGUGAAAUCCCGGGGCUCAACCCCGGAACUGCUUCCUGAACUGUAUUUCUAGAGAGGGUCAGAGGUUAGUGGAAUUCCUGGUGUAGAGGUGAAAUUCGUAGAUAUCAGGAGGAACACCGGUGGCGAAAGCGGCUGACUGGGGCCCAUCUGACGCUGAGGCGCGAAAGCGUGGGGAGCAAACAGGAUUAGAUA
rnacentral:rRNA from 1 species